rnacentral:rRNA from 1 species
GAGUUUGAUCCUGGCUCAGAGCGAACGCUGGCGGCAGGCCUAACACAUGCAAGUCGAGCGCCCCGCAAGGGGAGCGGCAGACGGGAUAGUAACACGUGGGAACGUACCCUUCAGUUCGGAACAACCAAGGGAAACUUUGGCUAAUACCGAAUACGUCCGUAAGGAGAAAGAUUUAUCGCUGAAGGAUCGGCCCGCGUCUGAUUAGCUAGUUGGUGAGGUAAUGGCUCACCAAGGCGACGAUCAGUAGCUGGUCUGAGAGGAUGAUCAGCAUCACUGGGACUGAGACACGGCCCAGACUCCUACGGGAGGCAGCAGUGGGGAAUAUUGGACAAUGGGCGCAAGCCUGAUCCAGCCAUGCCGCGUGGAUGAUGAAGGCCCUAGGGUUGUAAAGUCCUUUCGGCGGGGAAGAUAAUGACGGUACCCGCAGAAGAAGCCCCGGCUAACUUCGUGCCAGCCGCCGCCGUAAC